rnacentral:rRNA from 1 species
GUACUCCCCAGGUGGGAUACUUAUCACUUUCGCUUAGUCACUCAGCCCGAAAGCCAAACAACUAGUAUCCAUCGUUUACGGCGUAGACUACCAGGGUAUCUAAUCCUGUUCGCUACCUACGCUUUCGUCCAUCAGCGUCAAUAUAUUGUUAGUGAUCUGCCUUCGCAAUCGGUAUUCUAUGUAAUAUCUAAGCAUUUCACCGCUACACUACAUAUUCUAACCACUUCACAAUAAUUCAAGACAUACAGUAUCAAUGGCAGUGCUAUGGUUGAGCCACAGCAUUUCACCACUGACUUAUAUGCCCGCCUACGGACCCUUUAAACCCAAUGAUUCCGGAUAACGCUUGCACCCUCCGUAUUACCGCGGCUGCUGGCACGGAGUUAGCCGGUGCUUAUUCUUAUGGUACCGUCAUCAGAGUACACGUACCCCUUAUUCUUCCCAUAUAAAAGCAGUUUACAACCCAUAGGGCAGUCUUCCUGCACGCGGCAUGGCUGGAUCAGGCUUGCGCCCAUUGUCCAAUAUUCCUCACUGCUGCCUCCCGUAGGAGUCUGGUCCGUGUCUCAGUACCAGUGUGGGGGAUCUCCCUCUCAGGACCCCUAUCUAUCGAUGUCUUGGUAAGCCGUUACCUUACCAACUAACUAAUAGAACGCAUACUCAUCUUAUACCACCGGAGUUUUAAUUAUUAAACGAUGCCAUUCAAUAAUACUAUGGGGCAUUAAUCUUCGUUUCCAAAGGCUAUUCCCCAGUAUAAGGUAGAUUGUAUACGCGUUACGCACCCGUGCGCCGGUCGUCAGCAAGUAGCAAGCUACUCCUGUUACCCCUCGAC